rnacentral:rRNA from 1 species
UACAGAGGUCUCGAGCGUUAGGCGGAAUCACUGGGCUUAAAGCGUGUGUAGGCGGGUCGUUAAGUACCUUGUGAAAUCCCACGGCUCAACCGUGGAACUGCUGGGUAUACUGGCGAUCUUGCGCAGUCUAGGGGCGAGCGGAACAAACGGUGGAGCGGUGAAAUGCGUAGAUAUCGUUUGGAACGCCGACGGUGAAAACAGCUCGCUGGGGACUUGCUGACGCUGAGACACGAAAGCCAGGGGAGCGAACGGG